GACGAACGCUGGCGGCGUGCUUAACACAUGCAAGUCGAACGGAAAGGCCCUGCUUUUGUGGGGUGCUCGAGUGGCGAACGGGUGAGUAACACGUGAGUAACCUGCCCUUGACUUUGGGAUAACUUCAGGAAACUGGGGCUAAUACCGGAUAGGAGCUCCUGCUGCAUGGUGGGGGUUGGAAAGUUUCGGCGGUUGGGGAUGGACUCGCGGCUUAUCAGCUUGUUGGUGGGGUAGUGGCUUACCAAGGCUUUGACGGGUAGCCGGCCUGAGAGGGUGACCGGCCAAAUUGGGAAGUGGAAAGGGCCAAGGCUCCUACGGGGGGGAGGAGGGGGGAAUAUUGCAAAAGGGGCGGAAGCCUGGUGGAGCAACGCCGGGUGGGGGAUGGCGGCCUUCGGGUUGUAAACCGCUUUCGCUUGUGACGAAGGGGGGGGGAGGGGAAGGGGUAAAGAAGCACCGGCUAACUAGGU
rnacentral:rRNA from 1 species